rnacentral:rRNA from 1 species
ACUUAGGUGGCGGACGGGUGAGUAACGCGUGGGCAACCUGCCGUAUGCAGGGGGAUAACAGCGGGUAAACUGCUGCUAAUAACCGCAUAAGCGCACAGCACCGCAUGGUGCAGUGUGAAAAAGCCGAGACGGCAUACGAUGGACCCGCGUCUGAUUAGCCAGUUGGCAGGGUAACGGCCUACCAAAGCGACGAUCAGUAGCCGGCCUGAGAGGGUGGACGGCCACAUUGGGACUGAGACACGGCCCAAACUCCUACGGGAGGCAGCAGUGGGGGAUAUUGCACAAUGGGGGAAACCCUGGAUGCUAAGCGACGCCGCGUGAGCGAAGUAAGUAUUUCGGUAUGUAAAGCUCUGUCAGCAGGGAAGAAAAUGACGGUACCUGACCAAGAAGCUCCGGCUAAAUACGUGCCAGCCGCCGC